CCUCCUCCUGCUGCUGCUGCUGCUGCUGCUGUCGCCACUGGCUGAGGGUGCUUCCCCCCUUCCUGUCUGUAGCAGCAGCAGCAGCAGCAGCAGCAGGAGGAGG